AUACAUCGCUACAGGAGUACAUAUGCUAAAAUUGGAACUAUACAGGGAGGAUUAGCAUGGCUUCUUCGCAAAGAUGACACGCAAAUUCGUGAAGCGUUCUAUAUUCUU